rnacentral:rRNA from 1 species
GGGUUGUGAGGUUAAGCGACUAAGCGUACACGGUGGAUGCCCUGGCAGUCAGAGGCGAUGAAGGACGUGCUAAUCUGCGAUAAGCGUCGGUA